rnacentral:lncRNA from 1 species
CAGUUGUCCAACCAAAAUCUAGUACUUUGCUAUUCAAAAGUGUCUGGGGACCAGCAGCAUCAGCAUCUCAGGUCCUGCCCCAGGCUAUUGAAUUAGAGCCUGCAUUGGACAAAACCACCCACCCCCAGUGACUUGAGGUCAUCCAGGGCACGACUCCUUGAACUGUUCACUGAUUUGAGCUGUAAUCCAGAAAUGAUGAAGAAUGCAGCAGAUUCAUAUUUCUCACUUUUACAAGGUUUCAUAAAUUCUUUGGAUGAAUCUACCCAAGAAAGCAAGUUACGAUAUAUUCAAAAUUUCAAGUGGACUGAUACAUUGCAAGGACAGGUUCCAAGUGCCCAGCAGGAUGCUGUUUUUGAAUUAAUUUCCAUGGGAUUUAAUGUAGCUUUAUGGUAUACCAAAUAUGCUUCAAGACUGGCUGGAAAAGAAAAUAUAACAGAAGAUGAAGCAAAAGAAGUUCAUCGAAGCCUAAAGAUUGCAGCUGGGAUUUUUAAACAUUUAAAGGAAAGUCAUCUCCCAAAACUCAUUACACCUGCGGAAAAAGGAAGAGAUUUAGAGUCACGACUCAUAGAAGCAUACGUUAUUCAAUGUCAGGCUGAAGCUCAAGAAGUAACAAUUGCUCGAGCAAUUGAACUAAAACAUGCUCCUGGACUAAUUGCUGCACUGGCGUAUGAAACAGCCAAUUUCUAUCAAAAAGCUGAUCAUACUUUAUCCAGUUUGGAGCCUGCAUAUUCUGCCAAAUGGAGAAAAUAUCUUCACUUGAAGAUGUGUUUCUACACAGCUUAUGCUUACUGUUACCAUGGUGAGACUUUAUUGGCUAGUGAUAAAUGCGGUGAAGCAAUCAGGUCUCUCCAAGAAGCAGAAAAAUUGUAUGCAAAGGCAGAAGCACUGUGUAAAGAAUAUGGAGAAACCAAAGGACCUGGACCAACAGUCAAACCUUCAGGACAUCUGUUCUUUAGGAAACUUGGAAACCUUGUGAAGAACACCCUAGAAAAAUGUCAGAGAG